ensembl:lncRNA
AUGGCUUUUCUCCAGAGUGCAUUCUUUUGUGUUUCAUUUCCUUCUCCCUCACAGAGAGAUAAGGGAGCAAUGACGCUUCACAGUGUGAGCACUUGUAAGGUCCGGCUUCAGUACAUGGAUUUGAUGGAUAGCUCACUCAGAUGUGCAAGAGUGAAGUUUUGCGUUGCUAUUGUUAUUGUGAAUGAUUCAUCUGUGCAUACUGGCCCUCUUGGAAAUGUGCUAAGGCCCCCUCCCAGCUUCUUGAUUGAGACCCAAAGACUUAUCGUUAUAACUUAAAGAUUUAUUUCUUUGUUUAUUUAUUUAUUUAUUCAUGUUUCUGUUUACUUUUAAUGUGGUUUCAGACAUUUGAACCCCGUUUUCCACCUCUAAGUUUGAAUCAGAUAUCUAAACAUCAUUGUUUUUAUUAGUCUAAACACACAUUUUGAGCACUAAUCCAUCUACCUCUGUGUGCUUUAAGUCACUGCAUCAUUUCCCACGACACACAACAGAUUUCACUUCAAUCCAGUAAAUAUUUGCAUGCUUUUCCCUGGCAGAAGGACAGCAGACCAUGUAAUGGCUCUGUCCUCUCAAGCGCUAGUCGACAGUGAAACCUAAUGGUACGUGCAUAACUUGCAUAAUGUUACAUGCAGACAAAAACAACUAAGAUGGAUACAAACUGGCCAAGAGAGCAACAGAACAGAUGAAAGGUGGACCUGGUCAUCAAUGACUCUUGUUUAUUUCCGUCCAGGCAAGGAAAUGAGUGAUUGGGAUCUCAGAUUAGCGGCACUAAACAGCUGGGAAUGUUUACACAGGAAAUUAGAUGGUGAUUUUCACUUUCUGUCCCCACUGUGCCAUAUGGAGUGAUGCAUUAGGAUUAUUCUGAGGAUGAAUCACAAUUCAAUGCCUCUAUGAAUUUCAGCAAGACGCUCAUGCAUAAAAAUCCAUUCUGUUAUGAUGCAGCCAGAUGCAGUUUCAUGUUUAUUAGUGUGCUAUCUCAUUUUAAAAACCCAUGUUUCUUUAUCCGAAUUAGACAAUUAGACAUUGCACAACCUGCAUCAUGUCCAUCGGAUCCAGUUUUUCCUUCUUUAUACUCUCUCUUUAUACCGCCAUCUGUGCAUUGAAGUCAAUGGCAGCAGAGUGUGCAAAGAUAAGAUGUGAGAGUUUUACAGGUUUUAUUGAACGCUGUACAAACUGGGAAAUCUCAUCCUGAAAUGUGGCAUGACACUUCAGGAGACUCGAUAUGUCACCACAGCAACGGAUCAUCAUCUACACAGCCUGACGGGUCAGAGAACAUCACAUGAACACAGGCCUGACAAAAACACCCAAGGUCAAAGCUCACUGCAGAGGCGUGACAGCACUGAUAAUUAAAUCCACCCACGGUCUUUAAUAUACCAGAGCUUAAAACAUCUUUUGUAGCAGCGAGCUGCAUGUGGUUAGACACAUCUAGGUUUUUAGACUAUCAAGGUUUUGUUCGUUCAGCUGUGAUGGAAUAGUGCUUUUGAAUCUGACGGACAUGAAUAGCUGAAUGAUGGAGAUACAAGAAUAAAAAACCUUGUGAAAUUCUCUGUGAGUUAUAG